GAUACGGCCCAGACUCCUACGGGAGGCAGCAGUGGGGAAUAUUGCACAAUGGGCGGAAGCCUGAUGCAGCAACGCCGCGUGCGGGAUGACGGCCUUCGGGUUGUAAACCGCUUUCGCCUGUGACGAAGCGUGAGUGACGGUAAUGGGUAAAGAAGCACCGGCUAACUACGUGCCAGCAGCCGCGGUGAUACGUAGGGUGCGAGCGUUGUCCGGAUUUAUUGGGCGUAAAGGGCUCGUAGGUGGUUGAUCGCGUCGGAAGUGUAAUCUUGGGGCUUAACCCUGAGCGUGCUUUCGAUACGGGUUGACUUGAGGAAGGUAGGGGAGAAUGGAAUUCCUGGUGGAGCGGUGGAAUGCGCAGAUAUCAGGAGGAACACCAGUGGCGAAGGCGGUUCUCUGGGCCUUUCCUGACGCUGAGGAGCGAAAGCGUGGGGAGCGAACAGGCUUAGAUACCCUGGUAGUCCACGCUGUAAACGGUGGGUACUAGGUGUGGGGUCCAUUCCACGGGUUCCGUGCCGUAGCUAACGCUUUAAGUACCCCGCCUGGGGAGUACGGCCGCAAGGCUAAAACUCAAAGGAAUUGACGGGGCCCCGCACAAGCGGCGGAGCAUGCGGAUUAAUUCGAUGCAACGCGUAGAACCUUACCUGGGUUUGACAUGGAUCGGGAGUGCUCAGAGAUGGGUGUGCCUCUUUUGGGGUCGGUUCACAGGUGGUGCAUGCCUGUCGUCAGCUCGUGUCGUGAGAUGUUGGGUUAAGUCCCGCAACGAGCGCAACCC
rnacentral:rRNA from 1 species